GCCGGCGUGCCGUUAAAAAAACACCUGAUCCUUCAGCCCCGGGGCCGCCGAUAGCGCUAAUUGAAAAGCGCACACAUACACACACGCGCGCACCAUGCACACACACACACACACUCACACAAACACACACACACACACAGCAUUACCACCCCACCUCAACGCCUCGUGGGGCACAAUCACUCGCAAGUACAAAUUCUGGCCUGGCUUCCUCCCACCAGAGACAACGGCGUGACCUGAUAGCGCUGUAUGUUUUUUGAAUGCUCGCCUGUGCAUACUGAGUGGGCACAUUCACUCAGAGCCGCUCGGCUGAGGAGCUGCGAGCGCUGGGAGCGACUCCACGCAGCUCGCCUGGCGCUGGGGAGAGCAGACCGGGGGAAAAGUCGAGGAAGUGGCGGCCAGGCGGCAGGAGAGGAUGAAACGGGUCCGUGUCUCUCUCUCUCUCUCUCUCUCUGUCUCCCAUAAUUGAUAAGCUGUUGAGGGGGUGGGGGACAUCGGCGCGGCUGCCCGAGAGCAAGGCGCUGGAAUUAAAACUUCAAUCCGGCUGCCCAGGAAUCAAUUUCAGCCGUGGCCCCCAACAUUAUACAAAUGAGGAGAGGGGAGAUACAGACGGCAGAUGAUCGAGACACAGACUGUCCCUCGGCCGUCGCUCACGCUUUUUGUAUCCAGGCGCACGAUCUCCACUUCCCUUCACCAAGGUGGUCAACUCAACCUCCCUCCUUCUCUCCAAUCCUCCCUGUACUCCUCCACCUAAACCCCCUACCCCUGACUGAGCGGCAGUAAAGGAUGAUGGUCUUUUCACUCUACUGGUCCACUCUCGUUUGGUUAAAGGGCCGCUCCCACCAAGAACGAUAACUAUAACUAUAAUUGAAAUCAAGUCUUGUUCUAGCGAACAUGAAUGAUGACAUCCAGACAUAAACUAUAACGAUAACGACAUGAAGAACAAUACAGUUGGAGAUCACUUUCAGAGCAAUUUUGAGAACGAUAAAGAGCUAACGGCCAAUCGGAAUCCAUCAAACUUUAGACAUCACAUUCAUCAACACAUGGAUCAUUGGAUUCUGCAGAUACAGGCCCUGCUCACAGCUGCUCCCUGCUCUGUGGGAGAGCACUCCUGGGCCCAGCCCAUAAAACAGGUGAUGCCCUCUGGACGCAGUUCAUCUUACCUGCCAGGUGAAGACAGAAAGAUGUGUAAACACCCCCAAGGACUCCUAAAUGCUAAAUGCUAAACAUGAGAAAGACAAAUUGUGACUAGAGUGUCAAAGAAACUAAUAAUGACUCUCAUGUCACUAAACACAUGAUAUAUGGAAUAAAUGCAGUAUUAAAAAAUUGGCAUUGUCCACACACAAAAGUGA